UACUAUAUGGAGUGGCGGAGAAUAAGAAAGGUAUCGAAGUCAAUAUGCAAGUUCUACAUGCUUGUGUGGAUAUACAUUUUCUAGGCUUUAUGAGUAAGUAUAUCCACCAUAAGUUCUUUUUACGAUGCAUCUGAGCUUGCAACUCGCAUCUUGCCAAACAUUGUUGUCCUGGCAGUUGAACCCGCCAGAUGACCUACGACUACAAGUGUACACUAAUCAUGUCCACAUCUCAAUUUAUAUCAAGAUCCGAAUUUGAUUAGCACCACAUAGGCAUUAAUAACAAAGUUCAGAACAUAUCACACAUGAUGUUGUUGCGAAGAUGAAGUUAGCUAAGUAUUCUUAUGCGGAUGUGAUUGCAUGUGAGAAUGAACUUCUAAGAAAAAUCA